ensembl:ncRNA F52F12.14 ncRNA
CUAAGUGAAUCCAAUUGAAAUGCUUCAAAGCAAAUAGGAAACAGAAUAGAUUGUGUGAUUCGUUCCUCUCAUCAGAAAGCAAAGUGAGAGCUCUCUUCUGACUCUUCUCACUUGGAACCUUAAAGCUCCGCCCUCGUUUUUGGAAUGACA